UACGUAGGGGGCAAGCGUUGUCCGGAUUUAUUGGGCGUAAAGAGCGUGUAGGCGGCUUGGAAGGUCUGUCGUGAAAACUCGAGGCUCAACCUCGAGACGCCGAUGGAAACCAUCAAGCUAGAGUUCGGAAGACGGGAGUGGAAUUCCAGGUGUAGCGGUGGAAUGCGCAGAUAUCUGGAGGAACACCAAAGGCUAAGGCAGCUCCCGAGGACGAUACUGACGCUGAGACGCGAAAGCGUGGGGAGCGAACGAGG
rnacentral:rRNA from 1 species